UACAGAGGGUGCGAGCGUUGUUCGGAAUUAUUGGGCGUAAAGCGCACGUAGGCGGAUUGUUAAGUCAGGGGUGAAAUCCUGGAGCUCAACUCCAGAACUGCCUUUGAUACUGGCGAUCUCGAGUCCGGGAGAGGUGAGUGGAACUGCGAGUGUAGAGGUGAAAUUCGUAGAUAUUCGCAAGAACACCAGUGGCGAAGGCGGCUCACUGGCCCGGUACUGACGCUGAGGUGCGAAAGCGUGGGGAGCAAACAGG
rnacentral:rRNA from 1 species